CAGCAGUAGGGAAUCUUCCACAAUGGGCGCAAGCCUGAUGGAGCAACACCGCGUGAGUGAAGAAGGGUUUCGGCUCGUAAAGCUCUGUUGUUUAAAGAAGAACACGUAUGAGAGUAACUGUUCAUACGUUGACGGUAUUUAACCAGAAAGUCACGGCUAACUACGUGCCAGCAGCCGCGGUAAUACGUAGGUGGCAAGCGUUAUCCGGAUUUAUUGGGCGUAAAGAGAGUGCAGGCGGUUUUCUAAGUCUGAUGUGAAAGCCUUCGGCUUAACCGGAGAAGUGCAUCGGAAACUGGAUAACUUGAGUGCAGAAGAGGGUAGUGGAACUCCAUGUGUAGCGGUGGAAUGCGUAGAUAUAUGGAAGAACACCAGUGGCGAAGGCGGCUACCUGGUCUGCAACUGACGCUGAGACUCGAAAGCAUGGGUAGCGAACAGGAUUAGAUACCCUGGUAG
rnacentral:rRNA from 1 species